GUGUGCAUUAGGAAGCAUGAGAGGCUAAGAUGCAAUUUAGAGAAAAUUGCAACUUUGGGCCCAAAGGUUUGAAUAAUUAAAUUCAAACCUAUAGUUUUUUUUAAUAUAAUUUUGGGACUCACAAUCCCAUUUUUAUAUUAUUUUUCUCUCUUCCUCUCACGUUGCUCGGCGUUUUCUCGCAAGGGGGGAUUAUUUUCUUUUUUCUUCAGAUUAUAUUGACAAAGAUAGUGGUGAAAAAGGAGUUGUGAAGGGGAACUUGUUAUUCAAGACACAAGGAGCGAGUCCGGCCGAGAAAGCACCAGAGGUGUAACUGUGGUGUAUGAGACACCAUCUUUUACGUUGCCUCUUAUUUUAGAUUAUACAAUGUAUCUUGUGCCAACUUAGGACAUAUCUUCUUUGUGAAGCAUGUAAACUCUAAUCCUUUUUAUUAAAAGUAUUUAUAUGACCAAGAGGAUUAUGUCUGUCGCUCUUGAUUUAUGAUCUGAUUUGAAUAACAUGCUAUGAGGAUCAUGUC